rnacentral:rRNA from 1 species
UUAACACUCUACCGGCGUAAAGAGUGGUUUAAGAAUUUUUCCCAAUGAACUAAAGUUAAGACCCCAUUAAGCUGUUAUACGCCCUCAUGGGUGGAAUCACCAACAACGAAA